rnacentral:rRNA from 1 species
GAUGAACGCUGGCGGCGUGCCUAAUACAUGCAAGUCGAGCGAACGGACGAGAAGCUUGCUUCUCUGAUGUUAGCGGCGGACGGGUGAGUAACACGUGGAUAACCUACCUAUAGGACUGGGAUAACUUCGGGAAACCGGAGCUAAUACCGGAUAAUAUUUUGAACCGCAUGGUUCAAAAGUGAAAGACGGUCUUGCUGUCACUUAUAGAUGGAUCCGCGCUGCAUUAGCUAGUUGGUAAGGUAACGGCUUACCAAGGCAACGAUGCAUAGCCGACCUGAGAGGGUGAUCGGCCACACUGGAACUGAGACACGGUCCAGACUCCUACGGGAGGCAGCAGUAGGGAAUCUUCCGCAAAGGGCGAAAGCCUGACGGAGCAACGCCGCGUGAGUGAUGAAGGUCUUCGGAUCGUAAAACUCUGUUAUUAGGGAAGAACAUAUGUGUAAGUAACUGUGCACAUCUUGACGGUACCUAAUCAGAAAGCCACGGCUAACUACGUG